CAAUAUUUGCCCGAUAGCACAUAAAGGACUGGCUUUGGGGAAUCUAGAAACAUUUACAGCAUCUGUUACUCACAGGGCCUCUGUUAAUAAAAGCAUGUCAGACAACGAGUGCUGAUCUAGAAUCAGUUGUCCCUUUUUAGAAUAUAAUGAAUAAGAUUAUACGGUCAGAGAGGGUCUGAUCUUAGACCAGCACUACUACUUUGGGAUGAAAUGCUUUGUGAAUACGGGCCCUGAAUGCAUCUUAGAAUGAGUCCACUCUUAGCAAUAAUGUACUAACAUUAGACUAGAGAUUAAACAUGGACAUCUGUAACACUAGAAUGGACAUUGGCAUCCUGGCAACAUGGCUGUAGGACAGCCAUCUUGGUCAGGGGAAUCUUUCUUUCUAGAGACUCCUCCAACAUGGUGACACAGUACAUGGAUCUCUAUGGUCAGAACAUGGUACUGAUCCUCUAUGGUCAGAACAUGGUACUGAUCCUCUAUGGUCAGAACAUGGUACUGAUCCUCUAUGAUCAGAACAUGGUACUGAUCCUCUAUGGUCAGAACAUGGUACAGAUCACUAAAAUCAAAUCAAAUUGGUCAGAACAUGGUACUGAUCCUCUAUGGACAGAACAUGGUACAGAUCCUCUAUGGACAGAACAUGGUACAGAUCAUCUAUGGUCAGAACAUGGUACUGAUCACUAUGGUCAGAACAUGGUACAGAUCACUAUGAUCAGAACAUGGUACAGAUCACUCAUCAUGUAAAGUACCAUAAUCUUGUCUUACGAAUACACUGACACUGGAAAAACUGCUUAAAUAUCUUCAAUAUAUAUAUCUGCACAUGCAGUUCAUAUGUACAAAACAUUCAAUACAGGAGAUCUUACUGUAGAUAAUUCAGAGAGACAAAAAUACAACAAUACGAAUAAGAAGAAUAGAGUCACAACGUUCACCUUACGUUACAGUUCAAAUAGAUGUAGGGGAGGAGGUGACUGGGGGUAGAGGAGGUGACUGGGGGUAGAGGAGGUGGGCUGUUGGAGGAGGUGACUAGGGGUAGAGGAGGUGGGCUGUUGGAGGUGGUGACUAGGGGUAGAGGAGGUGGGCUGUUGGAGGAGGUGACUAGGGGUAGAGGAGGUGGGCUGUUGGAGGAGGUGAC